GAUGAAGAACGUAGCGAAAUGCGAUAAGUAAUGUGAAUUGCAGAAUUCAGUGAAUCAUCGAAUCUUUGAACGCACAUUGCGCCCGCCAGUAUUCUGGCGGGCAUGCCUGUUCGAGCGUCAUUUCAACCAUCAAGCCCCAGGCUUGUGUUGGGGACCUGCGGCUGCCGCAGGCCCUGAAAACCAGUGGCGGGCUCGCUGUCACACCGGGCGUAGUAGAUUUUAUCUCGCUCAGGGCGUGCUGCGGGUUCCGGCCGUUAAAAAGCCUUUUUUACCCAAGGUUGACCUCGUAUCAGGUAGGAAGACCCGCUGAACUUAAGCAUAUCAAUAAGCGGAGGA
rnacentral:misc_RNA from 1 species